CGGCACCUCGCCUCCCGCCGCGCGAUCCCCUUCUCCCCACGCGCCGAGUCUCCCAUGACGCCCGAGCCCCCCGGCCGGCGACAAUGACCACUUCCCUGCAAGAUGGGCAGAGCGCCGCGGGCAGGGCGGCUGCCCGGGAUUCGCCGCUGGCCGCCCAGGUGUGUGGCGCUGCCCAGGGGAGGGGCGACGCCCACGACCUGGCGCCGGCACCCUGGCUGCACGCGCGAGCGCUCCUGCCCCCUCCGGACGGGACCCGCGGCUGUGCUGCAGACAGGAGAAAAAAGAAAGAUCUUGAUGUUCCGGAAAUGCCAUCUAUUCCAAACCCUUUUCCUGAGCUAUGCUGUUCUCCAUUUACAUCUGUGUUGUCAGCAGACCUGUUUCCCAAAGCAAAUUCAAGGAAAAAACAGGUGAUUAAAGUAUACAGUGAAGAUGAAACCAGCAGGGCUUUAGAUGUACCCAGUGACAUAACGGCUCGAGAUGUUUGUCAGCUGUUGAUCUUGAAGAAUCAUUACAUUGAUGACCACAGCUGGACCCUUUUUGAGCACCUGCCUCACAUAGGUGUAGAAAGAACAAUAGAAGACCACGAACUGGUGAUUGAAGUGCUAUCCAACUGGGGGAUAGAAGAAGAAAACAAACUAUACUUUAGAAAAAAUUAUGCCAAAUAUGAGUUCUUUAAAAACCCAAUGUAUUUUUUUCCAGAGCAUAUGGUAUCUUUUGCAACUGAAACCAAUGGUGAAAUAUCCCCCACACAGAUUUUGCAGAUGUUUCUGAGUUCAAGCACAUAUCCUGAAAUUCAUGGUUUCUUACAUGCGAAAGAACAGGGGAAGAAGUCUUGGAAAAAAAUUUACUUUUUUCUAAGAAGAUCUGGUUUAUAUUUUUCUACUAAAGGAACAUCAAAGGAACCGCGGCAUUUGCAGUUUUUCAGCGAAUUUGGCAAUAGUGAUAUUUAUGUGUCGCUGGCAGGCAAAAAAAAACAUGGAGCACCGACUAACUAUGGAUUCUGCUUUAAGGUGUUACCUUCAAGAUAUGCAUUAACGAUAAACAAUGUGCUGUGGCCUUCUAGCCUAACAAAGCGGGAGGGCCCCGAGACCUGAAAAUGCUCUGUGCAGAAGAAGAGCAGAGUAGGACGUGCUGGGUGACCGCGAUUAGAUUGCUUAAGUAUGGCAUGCAGCUGUACCAGAAUUAUAUGCAUCCAUAUCAAGGUAGAAGUGGCUGCAGUUCGCAGAGCAUAUCACUUAUGAGAAGUAUAUCAGAGAAUUCCCUGGUAGCAAUGGACUUCUCAGGCCAGAAAAGCAGAGUUAUAGAAAAUCCCACUGAAGCCCUUUCAGUUGCAGUUGAAGAAGGACUCGCUUGGAGGAAAAAAGGAUGUUUACGCCUGGGCACUCAUGGUAGCCCCACUGCCUCUUCACAGAGCUCUGCCACAAACAUGGCUAUCCACCGGUCCCAGCCAUGGUUUCACCACAAAAUUUCUAGAGAUGAGGCUCAGCGAUUGAUUAUUCAGCAAGGACUUGUGGAUGGAGUUUUCUUGGUACGGGAUAGUCAGAGUAACCCCAAAACUUUCGUACUGUCAAUGAGUCAUGGACAAAAAAUAAAGCACUUUCAAAUUAUACCAGUAGAAGAUGACGGUGAAAUGUUCCACACACUGGAUGAUGGCCACACAAGAUUUACAGAUCUAAUACAGCUGGUGGAGUUCUAUCAACUCAAUAAGGGCGUUCUUCCUUGCAAGUUGAAACAUUAUUGUGCUAGGAUUGCUCUCUAGACAAACCAGAAGUGACUUAUUAAACUAUUGAAGAAAAAGGACUCAAGAAAAAUAAUGAAAGACCAUAAAUAAGGGUGAAAACGUUACCAUGUGAAAAGAAUGUAUUUUACCUGCAAGUUACAAAAAAAUAGUUUGUGCAUUGCAAAUAAGCAAAGACUUGGAUUGACUUUACAUUCAUCAUUUAAAAUUCAUUAGUUAAAAUUAAAACUUAGAAAAAAAUGAC
rnacentral:sRNA from 1 species